GAACGACGCUGGCGGCAGGCCUAACACAUGCAAGUCGAGCGAACCCUUCGGGGUUAGCGGCGGACGGGUUAGUAACGCGUGGGAAUAUACCCUUUGGUACGGAAUAGCCUCGGGAAACUGAGAGUAAUACCGUAUGUGCCCUUCGGGGGAAAGAUUUAUCGCCAAAGGAUUAGCCCGCGUUGGAUUAGAUAGUUGGUGGGGUAAUGGCCUACCAAGUCUACGAUCCAUAGCNGGUUUGAGAGGAUGAUCAGCAACACUGGGACUGAGACACGGCCCAGACUCCUACGGGAGGCAGCAGUGGGGAAUCUUAGACAAUGGGCGCAAGCCUGAUCUAGCCAUGCCGCGUGGACGAUGAAGGCCUUAGGGUUGUAAAGUCCUUUCAGAUGGGAAGAUAAUGACGGUACCAUCAGAAGAAGCCCCGGCUAACUCCGUG
rnacentral:rRNA from 1 species